ACCUACGGGGCGCAGCAGUGGGGGAUAUUGCACAAUGGGGGAAACCCUGAUGCAGCGACGCCGCGUGGGUGAAGAAGCGCCUCGGCGCGUAAAGCCCUGUCAGCAGGGAAGAAAAUGACGGUACCUGAAGAAUAAGCUCCGGCUAACUACGUGCCAGCAGCCGCGGUAAUACGUAGGGAGCAAGCGUUAUCCGGAUUUACUGGGUGUAAAGGGCGUGUAGGCGGGCCUGCAAGUCAGAAGUGAAAUCUGGGGGCUUAACCCCCAAACUGCUUUUGAAACUGUGGGUCUUGAGUGAUGGAGAGGCA
rnacentral:rRNA from 1 species